rnacentral:rRNA from 1 species
UCACCAGGUUGAUUCUGCCUGACGUGGAUGCUAGUUCCUGAGAUUAAGSCAUGCAUGUUUAUGAAGCGAUAUCGAUUGCGGAUUGAUAGUACGGCUCASUAAUACUGCGAUGAUUUGGUUGAGGGGAGUGUCUGUAACUACRGGAAACWGUARGUAGUGGGCUUGUAKGGUAUUUGCACGUGGCUUUGUGUUAUGUGUGGUAUGUGUCUUGAGUAAGUUGCAGGCCUAUCAACUGGUAGGUAGGGUAAUGGCCUACCUAGGUGGUGACGGGAUACGGGGGAUUAGGGUUUGAUUCCGGAGAGGGAGCCUGAGAGAUGGCUWCUACGUCCAAGGAUGGCAGCAGGCGCGAAACUUGCCUAAUCCAGUAUUGGGAGGCAGUGACGGGACGUGAUUGGAUGGCGUGAUGUAAAGAAGCAUGCUUGUAUCRSAGGGCAAGUCGGGUGCCAGCAGCCGCGGUAAUACCUGCUCCGAUAGUGUCUAUGGUGAAUGCUGCAGUUAAAAAGUCUGUAGUCKGGACCUUUUGGUAUGUCUGUUUGUGCUUAUGUUUGUAGUGAGCUGUGGAUGUACUUAUGGUUGUACGCAGAGGAUGAGGGGUACUGGAUAGUUGGGCGAGAGGUGAAAUGUGAUGACCCUGACUGGACGAACAGAAGCGAAGGCUGUACUCUUGGACUUGUGUGUGGAUCAAGGACGAAGGCUGGAGGAUCGAAAUCGAUUAGAUACCGUUUUAGUUCCAGCAGUAAACGAUGCCGACUGUGUGGUGCGGUAUGCACUGUGCGCGAGAAAUCAGUUAGUAUGUGGGUUUUGGGGAUAGUAUGUUCGCAAGGAUGAAACUUGAAGAGAUUGACGGAAGGACACCACCAGGAGUGGAGUGUGCGGCUUAAUUUGACUCAACGCGGGACAACUUACCAAUGCAGUACUGAGCGUGUGAUUGAGUACAAGAUGCUUAGGGUGGUGGUGCAUGGCCGUUUUAAAUGGAUGGCGUGAGCUGUGGAUUAAUUUCCGUAAGAUGUGAGACCCAUGGACGGCGUCAAGUGUGGCGAGGAAGGGUAGGAAUAGAACAGGUCCGUUAUGCCCUAAGAUGUGUUGGGCUGCACGCKCACUACSAUAUGCCAGUGGGGCAUGUGAGGGAUUGAGGGAUGUGAUUGCCUCAUGAACGUGGAAUUCCUAGUAAGURCGGKUCAUUAAGCCGUGUUGAAUGAGUCCCUGUCCUUUGUACACACCGCCCGUCGCUAUCUAAGAUGAUACUCUGGACGAAGACUGUGAGGUCUGAGUUUGUUGNNUUAGAUAANAUAUNANNCGNANCNAGGUNACCAGNGCCCGANCCUGUGCAACUAGAUAAGGUAUAAGUCGUAACAAGGUAACCANNAUCCAAUGGGGUAACUCAGCGGGACUCCAAUGUUUUGUAAACCGUCAUGUUUGAAGAAUGAGAAAGUCGUAACAAGGUA